AAUAGAUACCCGGUAGUCCACGCCGUAAACGAUGAGUACUAGGUGUAGGAGGGUCCAACCUUCUGUGCCGCAGUUAACACAAUAAGUACUCCGCCUGGGAAGUACGAUCGCAAGAUUAAAACUCAAAGGAAUUGACGGGGGCCCGCACAAGCAGCGGAGCAUGUGGUUUAAUUCGAAGCAACGCGAAGAACCUUACCUGGACUUGACAUCCCCUGAAUUACUCGUAAUGGAGGAAGCCCUUCGGGGCAGGGAGACAGGUGGUGCAUGGUUGUCGUCAGCUCGUGUCGUGAGAUGUUAGGUUAAGUCCUGCAACGAGCGCAACCCUUAUCAUUAGUUGCUACCAUUAAGUUGAGCACUCUAGUGAGACUGCCCGGGUUAACCGGGAGGAAGGUGGGGAUGACGUCAAAUCAUCAUGCCCCUUAUGUCCAGGGCUACACACGUGCUACAAUGGUGAGUACAAUUAGAUGCAAACCCGGCGAGGGGGAGCCAAACUAAAAAACUCAUCCCAGUUCGGAUUGUAGGCUGAAACUCGCCUACA
rnacentral:rRNA from 1 species